GUCCAGCGAGCGGUCUCCUCCUCCUGCUAGUGCUGCUGCGGCGUCCCGCGGCCUCCCCGAGUCGGGCGGGAGGGGAGAGCGGGUGUGGAUUUGUCUUGACGGUAAUUGUUGCGUUUCCACGUCUCGGAGGCCUGCGCGCUGGGUUGCUCCUUCUUCGGGAGCGAGCUGUUCUCAGCGAUCCCACUCCCAGCCGGGGCUCCCCACACACACUGGGCUGCGUGCGUGUGGAGUGGGACCCGCGCACACGCGUGUCUCUGGACAGCUACGGCGCCGAAAGAACUAAAAUUCCAGAUGGCAAACUCAAUGAAUGGCAGAAACCCUGGUGGUCGAGGAGGAAAUCCCCGAAAAGGUCGAAUUUUGGGUAUUAUUGAUGCUAUUCAGGAUGCAGUUGGACCCCCUAAGCAAGCUGCCGCAGAUCGCAGGACCGUGGAGAAGACUUGGAAGCUCAUGGACAAAGUGGUAAGACUGUGCCAAAAUCCCAAACUUCAGUUGAAAAAUAGCCCACCAUAUAUACUUGAUAUUUUGCCUGAUACAUAUCAGCAUUUACGACUUAUAUUGAGUAAAUAUGAUGACAACCAGAAACUUGCCCAACUCAGUGAGAAUGAGUACUUUAAAAUCUACAUUGAUAGCCUUAUGAAAAAGUCAAAACGGGCAAUAAGACUCUUUAAAGAAGGCAAGGAGAGAAUGUAUGAAGAACAGUCACAGGACAGACGAAAUCUCACAAAACUGUCCCUUAUCUUCAGUCACAUGCUGGCAGAAAUCAAAGCAAUCUUUCCCAAUGGUCAAUUCCAGGGAGAUAACUUUCGUAUCACAAAAGCAGAUGCUGCUGAAUUCUGGAGAAAGUUUUUUGGAGACAAGUCUCUGCCAGCACCCUGAAAUUUCUACAUUUGUAAAACAAUUUGCUAUUGAUAUUUUCUCUCAUUUGCUUCAUCUCUAAAGGAAGAGGUAGUAGAAACCACCACUGUCUUUUUGCAGAAGUUUAAAUGGAGAACUAUCGUACCAUGGAAAGUAUUCAGACAGUGCCUUCAUGAGGUCCACCAGAUUAGCUCUGGCCUGGAAGCAAUGGCUCUAAAAUCAACAAUUGAUUUAACUUGCAAUGAUUACAUUUCAGUUUUUGAAUUUGAUAUUUUUACCAGGCUGUUUCAGCCUUGGGGCUCUAUUUUGCGGAAUUGGAAUUUCUUAGCUGUGACACAUCCAGGUUACAUGGCAUUUCUCACAUAUGAUGAAGUUAAAGCACGACUACAGAAAUAUAGCACCAAACCCGGAAGCUAUAUUUUCCGGUUAAGUUGCACUCGAUUGGGACAGUGGGCCAUUGGCUAUGUGACUGGGGAUGGGAAUAUCUUACAGACCAUACCUCAUAACAAGCCCUUAUUUCAAGCCCUGAUUGAUGGCAGCAGGGAAGGAUUUUAUCUUUAUCCUGAUGGGAGGAGUUAUAAUCCUGAUUUAACUGGAUUAUGUGAACCUACACCUCAUGACCAUAUAAAAGUUACACAGGAACAAUAUGAAUUAUAUUGUGAAAUGGGCUCCACUUUUCAGCUCUGUAAGAUUUGUGCAGAGAAUGACAAAGAUGUCAAGAUUGAGCCUUGUGGGCAUUUGAUGUGCACCUCUUGCCUUACGGCAUGGCAGGAGUCGGAUGGUCAGGGCUGCCCUUUCUGUCGUUGUGAAAUAAAAGGAACUGAGCCCAUAAUCGUGGACCCCUUUGAUCCAAGAGAUGAAGGCUCCAGGUGUUGCAGCAUCAUUGACCCCUUUGGCAUGCCGAUGCUAGACUUGGACGACGAUGAUGAUCGUGAGGAGUCCUUGAUGAUGAAUCGGUUGGCAAACGUCCGAAAGUGCACUGACAGGCAGAACUCACCAGUCACAUCACCAGGAUCCUCUCCCCUUGCCCAGAGAAGAAAGCCACAGCCUGACCCACUCCAGAUCCCACAUCUAAGCCUGCCACCCGUGCCUCCUCGCCUGGAUCUAAUUCAGAAAGGCAUAGUUAGAUCUCCCUGUGGCAGCCCAACGGGUUCACCAAAGUCUUCUCCUUGCAUGGUGAGAAAACAAGAUAAACCACUCCCAGCACCACCUCCUCCCUUAAGAGAUCCUCCUCCACCGCCACCUGAAAGACCUCCACCAAUCCCACCAGACAAUAGACUGAGUAGACACAUCCAUCAUGUGGAAAGCGUGCCUUCCAGAGACCCGCCAAUGCCUCUUGAAGCAUGGUGCCCUCGGGAUGUGUUUGGGACUAAUCAGCUUGUGGGAUGUCGACUCCUAGGGGAGGGCUCUCCAAAACCUGGAAUCACAGCGAGUUCAAAUGUCAAUGGAAGGCACAGUAGAGUGGGCUCUGACCCAGUGCUUAUGCGGAAACACAGACGCCAUGAUUUGCCUUUAGAAGGAGCUAAGGUCUUUUCCAAUGGUCACCUUGGAAGUGAAGAAUAUGAUGUUCCUCCCCGGCUUUCUCCUCCUCCUCCAGUUACCACCCUCCUCCCUAGCAUAAAGUGUACUGGUCCGUUAGCAAAUUCUCUUUCAGAGAAAACAAGAGACCCAGUAGAGGAAGAUGAUGAUGAAUACAAGAUUCCUUCAUCCCACCCUGUUUCCCUGAAUUCACAACCAUCUCAUUGUCAUAAUGUAAAACCUCCUGUUCGGUCUUGUGAUAAUGGUCACUGUAUGCUGAAUGGAACACAUGGUCCAUCUUCAGAGAAGAAAUCAAACAUCCCUGACUUAAGCAUAUAUUUAAAGGGAGAUGUUUUUGAUUCAGCCUCUGAUCCCGUGCCAUUACCACCUGCCAGGCCUCCAACUCGGGACAAUCCAAAGCAUGGUUCUUCACUCAACAGGACGCCCUCUGAUUAUGAUCUUCUCAUCCCUCCAUUAGGUGAAGAUGCUUUUGAUGCCCUCCCUCCAUCUCUCCCACCUCCCCCACCUCCUGCAAGGCAUAGUCUCAUUGAACAUUCAAAACCUCCUGGCUCCAGUAGCCGGCCAUCCUCAGGACAGGAUCUUUUUCUUCUUCCUUCAGAGAGCCCAGUUUACCCUAUGGCUGACAAAUAGCAAACUUAGGAUAUGAUGCAAGAUAGAACAUGAUAAUGAUUCAAAACAGAACCAUAAGCAGAUCCCUUUGUUGAUCUAGCAAGUGGCCAAGUUCCUUUGCCUCCUGCUAGAAGGUUACCAGGUGAAAAUGUCAAAACUAACAGAACAUCACAGGACUAUGAUCAGCUUCCUUCAUGUUCAGAUGGUUCACAGGCACCAGCCAGACCCCCUAAACCACGACCGCGCAGGACUGCACCAGAAAUUCACCACAGAAAACCCCAUGGGCCUGAGGCGGCAUUGGAAAAUGUCGAUGCAAAAAUUGCAAAACUCAUGGGAGAGGGUUAUGCCUUUGAAGAGGUGAAGAGAGCCUUAGAGAUAGCCCAGAAUAAUGUCGAAGUUGCCCGGAGCAUCCUCCGAGAAUUUGCCUUCCCUCCUCCAGUAUCCCCACGUCUAAAUCUAUAGCAGCCAGAACUGUAGACACCAAAAUGGAAAGCAAUCGAUGUAUUCCAAGAGUGUGGAAAUAAAGAGAACUGAGAUGGAAUUCAAGAGAGAAGUGUCUCCUCCUCGUGUAGCAGCUUGAGAAGAGGCUUGGGAGUGCAGCUUCUCAAAGGAGACCGAUGCUUGCUCAGGAUGUCGACAGCUGUGGCUUCCUUGUUUUUGCUAGCCAUAUUUUUAAAUCAGGGUUGAACUGACAAAAAUAAUUUAAAGACGUUUACUUCCCUUGAACUUUGAACCUGUGAAAUGCUUUACCUUGUUUACAGUUUGGCAAAGUUGCAGUUUGUUCUUGUUUUUAGUUUAGUUUUGUUUUGGUGUUUUGAUACCUGUACUGUGUUCUUCACAGACCCUUUGUAGCGUGGUCAGGUCUGCUGUAACAUUUCCCACCAACUCUCUUGCUGUCCACAUCAACAGCUAAAUCAUUUAUUCAUAUGGAUCUCUACCAUCCCCAUGCCUUGCCCAGGUCCAGUUCCAUUUCUCUCAUUCACAAGAUGCUUUGAAGGUUCUGAUUUUCAACUGAUCAAACUAAUGCAAAAAAAAAAAAGUAUGUAUUCUUCACUACUGAGUUUCUUCUUUGGAAACCAUCACUAUUGAGAGAUGGGAAAAACCUGAAUGUAUAAAGCAUUUAUUUGUCAAUAAACUGCCUUUUGUAAGGGGUUUUCACAUAACAUAGAGGAGCUUCCCUUUUUUGUUUAAGUUUUGUAACCUUUAAUCCUCCAUAUUCUCAUGUCUGUCAUCCCAGGGGUGUCACAACUGUAAAAAUCUACAAUAUUAGAAAGCAGCUACUACAGAUGUGGAAGAGAGAACACUUGUAUAAGACAAUGCUGUACUGAAGUUAUAUAACAAGGUCCCCUGAUACUUAUGCCUGCAUUACUUUGAGGGAUGCUGAAUGAGAGGACCAUCUCCCUGAAAUAUAUUAAUAAUUUUCAGAUAAAAUUAUGAACAUAACAUACCUUUUCUCAAGUGGAAUUAGAGUUCAUUUCCCAUUUAAGUGAUUACACUCUAUCUCCUAAGAGCUGUGGGAACCAGUUCAUAUUGCAGUGGAAACAUUAACUCUUCGUUGCACUGUUGAGUGUCAAGGCUACUGUGGCAAUGUUUUUUGCAAAGUUCUCAGUAAUUUUCUCUCUGCAAUCAAAUUAGAGUUCAUAUUUAAUUUGCAGAUUCUCUCAUUCAUUGCUCCACACUGCUUUAUCAAAUCAGGUGAAAGAAAUUAAUGUAGUUUUGCCUAUUUUACAAAAUGGUGGUUGGUUCUUUAAACACCAUGUUAUUACUCUUAAUAAAUCUACAAAUAUUUAUUGAGCAUCUAUGAUAUGCUUGGUGCUGUUAGGCACUGUGUUUUUAAAGCACAAACUCUCAAAAGCUGAUUCCAGCGUAAUGUUUUAUUUUUGUUUUUCUGUGUUUUUUAUGACAAAGUCUGUCUGAUAGACAAAGCCUGGAAGGUUUCCCCCAGGGCUUUAGAAUUUAGAAUUAGCUGGUUUUCAUUUCAAAUGGGAAAUUAAUGGAGAAAUGAGAUAAAAUCAUCUCUGUGUAAAUGCUUGAACCCACAGAAAGUUUUCUAAAUAUGGACUAAUUGUGGGUUUGUGCAUAUUUCUGUGUCUCCUCUUUUCACUUCACACCCACCAUGAUAUAAAAAGAUGCAUCAGAGAGUGAGCCUGCCUUCAGGACCUGAAAGGACAUGACUGAACAUCUAGUAGAUCUGGUGGAAAUUAAUGUUAUACAAAAGACACGUAGACUAAGUUGACCCUGGGAGAGGAGUUAAUACAUUCCUUUGCAAAGUGACAUGUGCCCUUUUUUUGACAGUCUGGCUUUCAUGGUAUGAGAUGAGGACUCACAGGCCUUGGGUAAUUUCUGCUUUUGUAUGAAUUUUUUCAGAUGGUUCUGAGCUGGUUAUGUCCCUGGAGGGGAAUUUUUCAUUUGCCUUAGAUGUUCUUCCCAUGAGUAGGUACAUGAGUGAAGUUUCUUACACUUUUAAAAUUGCAUUGGCAAAUUUUCUUUUGCUUUAUGAACCCCUGUUUUGUCAUUAUGAUUUUUCACUUGUUUUAACAGUUUCAGAUGUCACCUUGGAAUAGCACUGUUUAUUUUGGCCUUUUUAUGAUUGCUGAUGAUAGGUACAGUCUAAAGGCCAAAAGUUGCCACUUCAUUGUGAUAACAUUGUUGCAACAUUCCUAAUAUAUUAGAGAAUGAUGUAAAAUAAGAAUGUUAGAGAACAUAGCACAUUCUCAUUCAGUUUAUAAACAAUAUUUGAAAAUUUCCAGUGAGAAUUAAAAAAGGACUAGUGAUGAUAUAGCAAACCUGGACCUGAAAUUUGGGGGUGGGGGGUGGGGGGAUAUCUGUUUUGCAGAGAAAAUUUACCAGCCUCCAGCAAAAUCUCUGCAUCUUGUACUCAAUAGCAACCAUUAGUAUUGUCAUUUAAAAAGAAUGAAUCAAAAAUUCAUACGUAAUGGAAUGAAAAGAGGAAAACUUUCUAUUAAACACUGUCAAGAAAGACCCAUUGCUAUCUAUCACCUAUGAAAUUAAACCUAAAAAAAUUUUUUUUUAUUGUAAAAGCGACUGCUCGUUGAUGUCUGGAAGUGAUCCAGACUUUGUUUCACUGUGAUCCAAAAAGUUAGACAUUCCUUCCAUUUCUCAAGAUUUGGUAACAAUUUUUUUUUAAGUCAGCAUUUCAUAUAAUACAUAAAAUUAAGACAAAUUAACUUACUGAUAUGUGGCCAAUAUCAACCCUUCUCACCCAACCCAAACAUGUUCUGGAGAUAGAAGGACUUAUCCUCAAUUAUAUUCCAGUAAAUUUAUCUCCAUAAUCUGUUUUAUCCCCUAAUGUAUGAUAUAUCUCACCAAAUUUUUCUAGAAUUGAAUAAAAGCAGUUUUUGCUUAACUUGAAUUUCCUUCCACAAAUACAACCUUCAGCUCUUCCCUCUCUGUUUCCCUUUUGCCCACAUUGCAAAUAGUCUUCAUAAUAGAACCCUCACUGCAACUUAAAAGGGUCCCAUUUCUUAACUCAGCAUUUCAUAUACCAAGAACACUUGCAAAGAUUUCUUCAUAAUGUGAUUUUUUAAUUUUUCAGUUCCAGAAGCAUUUCCUACAGUUCGAACGUUAUUUUUUCUCUCAGAUUUUCAACUUGAAGCUUUGAUUUGCACUGAAUUAACUUGGAUAAAAUUUUAGUUUCUCUCUUCAGCUAACAGAUUUGGAAGCAAAUUACAGUAUACUUGAAUAAUUCAGGUACUACCUGUUGACCUGGAAUUUUAGUGAUUCUGGGAAAGUUUUCCAGACAAAGACACCAAUAGAGUGAAGGGUUUUUUCCCCAAUUACUAUUUUAUUGUUUUUUAAAAUGCCUUUUUAAAACUUGUGUGAUGUGGCAAAAUAGUCAUAUGUUCAAUUAAUUUAUAUUUUAUUCAUUCCUUUUCAAUUCUGGUUAUUAUGUAACCUCAAGUACUUUAUCUGUUCUUUUAAAGUAUUUUAUAAAAUGAACGUUAACUAAA